UUUAGGACACGCAUGUGCUAAUGCCCAUGAAUGCUGUGACAAACAUUGUAAAGGAUUAACAUCUAAAUGUUAUGGUAUCUGCAGUAAAAAGCCUUAUUCCUAUCGAAAGUACUGAUAUUUUUUCAGAGUUUUGUGAAUAUUGCCAAAAAUUAUUGUUAUGAUUGAAAUUAU